UUAGGGAGGAGCUUGCGUCACAUUAGUUAGUUGGUGGGGUAAAGGCCUAACAAGACUAUGAUGUGUAGCCGGGCUGAGAGGUUGAACGGCCACAUUGGGACUGAGACACGGCCCAAACUCCUACGGGAGGCAGCAGUAGGGAAUUUUCGGCAAUGGAGGAAACUCUGACCGAGCAACGCCGCGUGAACGAUGAAGUAUUUCGGUACGUAAAGCUCUUUUAUUAGGGAAGAAUAAAUGAUGGAAAAACCAUUCUGACGGUACCUAAUGAAUAAGCCCCGGCUAACUAUGUGCCAGCAGCCGCGGUAAUACAUAGGGGGCAAGCGUUAUCCGGAAUUAUUGGGCGUAAAGGGUGCGUAGGCGGUUAAAUAAGUUUAUGGUCUAAGUGCAAUGCUCAACAUUGUGAUGCUAUAAAAACUGUUUAGCUAGAGUAAGAUAGAGGCAAGUGGAAUUCCAUGUGUAGUGGUAAAAUGCGUAAAUAUAUGGAGGAACACCAGUAGCGAAGGCGGUUUGCUGGGUCUUUACUGACGCUGAGGCACGAAAGCGUGGGGAGCAAACAGGAUUAGAUACCCUGGUAGUCCACGCCGUAAACGAUGAGUACUAAACGUUGGGUAAAACCAGUGUUGAAGUUAACACAUUAAGUACUCCGCCUGAGUAGUACGUACGCAAGUAUGAAACUUAAAGGAAUUGACGGGACUCCGCACAAGCGGUGGAUCAUGUUGUUUAAUUCGAAGGUACCCGAAAAACCUCACCAGGUCUUGACAUGCUUCUGCAAAGCUGUAGAAACACAGUGGAGGUUAUCAGUUGCACAGGUGGUGCAUGGUUGUCGUCAGCUCGUGUCGUGAGAUGUUGGGUUAAGUCCCGCAACGAGCGCAACCCUUAUUGUUAGUUACCAGCACGUAAUGGUGGGGACUUUAGCAAGACUGCCAGUGAUAAAUUGGAGGAAGGUGGGGACGACGUCAAAUCAUCAUGCCCCUUAUGACCUGGGCUACAAACGUGAUACAAUGGCUGUUACAAAGGGUAGCUGAAGCGCAAGUUUUUGGCGAAUCUCAAAAAA
rnacentral:rRNA from 1 species